CCUUAGGGGUUGGUUGUUAUCUUUGGUUAUCUAGCUGUAUGAGUGAUGUACAUUCUUCAUAAAGCUAGAUAACCGAAAGUAACAAGAAUCCCAUUACGCUCCUGAAAAGGCAUCAAGACCCCAAACGUGCCUCCCUCCCAAAAAAAAACACAAACUCUGCCACAAGAACUUCAACAAGAGAGAAGAAAAUGGACGACGGUCAAAAGGAGAUGGGAGCGGAAUGCAGCAAAAGGCUACCACCAUCACCACACCACUGAAGGAAAGCUGGCAAAAGGAGACUGAAAAACAGAGAAUAAGGAGGAGGAGGGGUUGCUGUUGAUUCUGCCCUCCCUCUCUCCUCGCCCUCCUCUGCAUCGCCUCUUCCCUCCUCCUUCUCCUCCCUUCCUCCUCCGCUCCAUCCUCAGCAGACUGCCCCUUUUUCCUGUACAGCGAGACGCAGCCCGCGCCACCAUCUUAGAGCAACGCUGGCAUGAAAUGGAAGUGGGAAGACCAGUCAGUGCAGGUGAAUGCAUGGGGAUCCGAACCGGCCCGAGCACACAACGGAGGGAUAGCAGGACUCCUCCUUCAGCGGCCGUUUGCCGCCUUUAAGGCUGGACUAAACAGGGACGCCACCGCUGAUGUCUGCACGGGACUCAGUGGCGAUUCCUGCUGUGACUUUGGAACAUCAGUGCGCUGUUUGUACCUCUUCGAUGCUGCUGCAUGAUUCAUUAUUUGACCCAACAGUCAAGCGGGACUGGUUGCGAAUGCCUUGUGGUGUUCUAGCAGAGCAGAUAUCACGUUGGACUGUUGGAAACAAGAUUCAGACAGAAGAUCAGCAGCUUGAGGUGUGGACGAACUGGUCCCUGAUUGUGAUUCUUGUCUUUAUACUUUUGAGGGUGUGGCACUCAAUUUUGUAAUUAUUACUCCUAUAUAUAUAUAUCUACCUGUAAACAGUAUUACUUAGACAUGAAGCAAUAUAAUGUGUCUUCAACUAACAUAGGCCUGAAUGACUGUAGGUCAUAUUUGAUGAGUUGUAGCCCAUGUUUAGUUCCAUUUCUGUUUUGUUAUAGUUGCUAGGACUCAAAGACACGUGAAUGUGAGACCCACGGCAGCAGUGAAUAAUACUGCACUGCGAUUGGACAGCUCCGUGUGUCGGCUGACACAAUGGCGAAGGAGUGAGCUGUCGUCUUUAUACUCUAUGCAACUGUUUUAUCUUUUUUUGUUCAUUUUUCCCAGUUGGACAGAGCCCCUUUUAUCCUUACUCUGGAUUUUUUUUUUUUUGGGCUUCCAGUUUAUUGACAUUCCUUCAGACAUCAUCAAGAGAAACGAUUUCUGAGGAGCCAACAUUGCCGUUGUUAAUGUACUGACACAGAAAAUACAGUCAGUGUGUGUGUGUGUCUGUGUGUGGGUGAUGGAUGAUAGAAUACAGCUCAGUUUCAUAUGUAUUGAAACUCAUAUUUGCAGCCUUAACAGACUUUGAUUUGCAGCCAUGAGCCACAGUCUGAGUAAAUGUGGACUCGCACGUUUAAUAUUCCUGAUGGCAGAAGUGUGUUUGAUCAGCAGGAAGUAGCAGAGCAGGGCUCAUGGCUGCGUGUAUACAGAACACGCCACGCUAUUAAAACCUUCCCAGCAGGCUUUGAGACACAGCAGUUUGGUUCAUAGCAGUUACCUGCUUGGCUGUAAUGAUACAUCUUUGGGUGAGACAUGACAAAUACAUUGGCUUCAAACACUGCCUUAAUUUCCUGUCCUUGACAUUAACACACACACACACACACACAUACCCAAAUGCAAUAAAGCAAGUACUAUCGCAGCCUAAUUCAUUCUAUAUUAAUUUUUGGGAAGUGGCAAAUUUUUUAUUACGAUUGAUAAUCUAUGCAAAUCUUUUAAAUAUUACUUUAAACAAUCUAUGUCUAUGCAGUGCUUUUGCAAUUGAUUCAAGAGAGACUAUCUUGGCCUAAUUUAGAAAAUGUAUUCUUUUGAUAAUCAUGCACAUCCCAGUGCUCAAGACAAUUACUUAUCUGCCUGGAUAAGCUUGAAAUUAUGUUUUUAAUCUUUAGCAAAAAAAAGUCACUCUUCUGAUAUCAGUCCAGAGGCAUGAAAACCACGAGUUGUGGUCUAAAAUAAUUAAAUCGGUUGCACUAAAUCUCUUUUUCCCUUAAACGCAGAUCAAACAUAUCUAUUCAGCUAUGCCUUCGUGUAGCUUAUUGUUUUAUAUAAUCAGCAAUGUUUGUGUUAUGCAAUCUAAUCGCUGUGAUUGAGUGUUCACCACAUGUGCCUUUGUAUGGAAAACUGUUGGAAUAGUAA